AUGCUAUGAUGUAAUUUCUUAGGACACCUUUGGAUGACAAUAUCAAGAGAAUGUCAUGUGAAAAGAAUUAUUUACUGAGCUUA